UACGUAGGGACCAAGCGUUGUCCGGAAUCAUUGGGCGUAAAGAGCGUGUAGGCGGCUUGUUAAGUCUUGCGUGAAAUCUCGGGGCUCAACCCCGAGUGGUCGUGAGAAACUGGCAGGCUAGAGUGCGGGAGAGGAGAGCGGAAUUCCUGGUGUAGCGGUGAAAUGCGCAGAUAUCAGGAAGAACACCCGUGGCGAAGGCGGCUCUCUGGAACGCAACUGACGCUGAGACGCGAAAGCGUGGGGAGCAAACAGG
rnacentral:rRNA from 1 species